CUAUAUCCUCUGACGGGUCAUUGAUUGCUGCUGGAUUUUUAGAUUCAUCGCUGAAGAUUUGGGAUAUGGCAAAGCUUGGGCAAUAGGCUGUUGGUUGUGCACCAGUGGCUGUGAGGUUUGAUGGUGGCAGGGCUUGGAAUGGGGAGGUGUAGGCUCGAUGGUGGAUUUACUUUUGGCUGAUUAUGGCUGCUACUUGUGGUCUUUUCAUCAGUGAAGAAGCUUUAAAUAUCUGGGUCUGUCUUCUGUUCUGGUUGGCAUAUCUAUAGCAAGGAUGCUAACUUUGGAUGGGUCAUGGAAGUCUCUUGCUGAGUCCUUUUCUAGGAAUGCUGGAUACAUAACAUUGAUGAUUUUUUGGGUGUACUAGUUAGCUUCCUAAUUCAAUUAGUUAUUUUUAUUAAACAUGUUUGAUGAAGCUUUUCACUUGUAGCUCUUUAGCCAUUACCAUUUUAGGUGAUAUUCUUAUAUUGAAAAAUCAACUCGACACUGUAUAUCCUAAACGUGAUUGACAAAUAUGAGUGAUUGACACUGUAUAUCAAUCUGAUAUUCUUAUAAGUGAUUGACAAAUAUGAUCUAUAUGGUCAAGUUGCAUAUCCUAAAUGUCAUAAGCAAUCUGAUGUCCCUGAAAUUUAUCAUUUAGCAGCAAAAACAAAGGUACAUAUCAUAUGUGUGUGUGUGUCCCUGAAAUCUAUCACUUCUUUUAUCUAGGAGGUAUGUUUUUCAACCUGAUUUGAGUAUCUCUGUUUUGGUAGGGUGUUUUCAUAAAUCCAGCCUUCAUUGAGCCAUUUGGACUUACUUUAAUUGAGGUUAUUACUCUUGAGGAUGUAAUAAAGGGAAUUAAGAUCAUGAGGGAGACUUUGAUAUAUUUGUCACAUCUUGAUCACGAGGACACGGAAAAGCUGGUAUGUUGUUGGACAGUACCCGAGGUUUCUAACAGCUCACUAGAAGUUCCUAAAAACGGUUGUGAACAAAUUGUUUGAGUUCAUGCAUGAGACACAUCCUGGUGUUCAGCAGCACUAAAGGCCUCUCUGUGGCUUAUAUCUAGCUUUAAAGUUGGCUUUAAAGUUGGGGUUAGAACAAGGGCUAUAGACACCAACAGAGCAACAUCAUGAGGAGGUUUGCCUUGGAAACCUGAGGAGAUUUCAAUUUAGAGAGCUUCAGAUGGCAACAAACAGCUUCAGCAGCAAGUACUUGGUUGGAUGAUGAAUUGAAGGAUGGAGCAUGUUUCAUGCAUGAUUUACUUUUGUAUAUCUUGUAAUGUUUCUGUUUUUUAUUUUGAAAGUAAAAGAUGUUCAAGAUUAUGAAACUUUAUUAUGUUAUGCUUUCAAAUUUAAGUUAGAACUAAGAUCUCAUGAAGUAGACAUAUUCAUGGUUUGAAUUAGUUAUUGUUUAAUGUAAUACUUGUGGUUUAUCAAUCUAUUGAGAAUUACAUUUUAUGAUU